rnacentral:lncRNA from 1 species
AUUGACCCCAUACUAUGCUCAGCAAGUAGGGCCCUUGUAUUUCUGUGAAUCCUCAUACAGUACAGUACUGCUGUUGGAAAAGGAGCAAACAGUGUGGUAUCUAUGGUGACAGUCAACCAUCACUUCAAGCAUUAUGGCUAUGGAGAAAAGAAUGUUUCAUUACAUAUGGACAAUUAUAGUGGACAAAAUAAGAAAAGUGUUGUAAUAAGCUAUGGAAUGUGGCUUGUUAUGAUGGGUCUACAUGAUGACUUGGAGUACAACCUGAUUGAGG